GCAGUUGGGCAGUCCGUCGCUUUUGCUUUUAUGGCAAACGAGGAAAGUCCGGGCAACAUAGAGCAUUCCGCUUCUUAAUGGGAAGUCGUUCGUGAGAGCGAAUCCGUGCAGAAGAAAAUAACCGCCACUUUUCAGCACGCAGCCGCAAGGUUGUUGGUCAGCAAUGGCAAGUGUUGUGGGAGGUAAGGGUGAGAAGGUGGGGUAAGAGCCCACCAGUCGUGUGGCGACAUACGAGCUGUGCACCUCGGAAGUUGAAAGUUCAUGUAAACUGGUGUCAUCAGGGCGGCUCGUCCGAGUGUUUUCGAGCACACAUCAGAGGGUAGAACGAUAGAGUGUGUUGGUGACAGCACAUCCAGAUAAAUGACGGACACCUUGUCCUUUUGAUAAAGAUAAGGCACAAAACCCGGCUUAUCGUCCAACUGCUUUC
rnacentral:RNase_P_RNA from 1 species